rnacentral:sRNA from 1 species
UGUAGCUCCGCAUCGGGGGGGAUGAGAACCCACGACCGGGGUUCGACAACGUGCUUUAGCACGUUGGACAGAUCGCGAACGCAGUGAGCGGGCUGCCCGCAGGGCGAGCGAAGCGAGUCAAUCCCCCCCUCACCGCCA